rnacentral:rRNA from 1 species
UACGUAGGGUGCGAGCGUUAUUCGGAAUUACUGGGCGUAAAGCGUGCGCAGGCGGUUUUGUAAGCCAGAUGUGAAAUCCCCGGGCUCAACCUGGGAAUGGCAUUUGGGACUGCAAGGCUCGAGUUUGGCAGAGGAGACUGGAAUUCCUGGUGUAGCAGUGAAAUGCGCAGAUAUCGGGAGGAACACCUAUGGCGAAGGCGGGUCUCUGGGCCGAUACUGACGCUGAGGAGCGAAAGCGUGGGGAGCGAACAGG